AACGCUAGCUACAGGCUUAACACAUGCAAGUCGAGGGGAAACGACAUCGAAAGCUUGCUUUUGAUGGGCGUCGACCGGCGCACGGGUGAGUAACGCGUAUCCAACCUGCCCACCACUUGGGGAUAACCUUGCGAAAGUAAGACUAAUACCCAAUGAUAUCCCACGAAGGCAUCGGAAUGGGAUUAAAGAUUUAUCGGUGAUGGAUGGGGAUGCGUCUGAUUAGCUUGUUGGCGGGGUAACGGCCCACCAAGGCAACGAUCAGUAGGGGUUCUGAGAGGAAGGUCCCCCACAUUGGAACUGAGACACGGUCCAAACUCCUACGGGAGGCAGCAGUGAGGAAUAUUGGUCAAUGGGCGAGAGCCUGAACCAGCCAAGUAGCGUGCAGGAUGACGGCCCUAUGGGUUGUAAACUGCUUUUAUAAGGGAAUAAAGUGAGUCUCGUGAGACUUUUUGCAUGUACCUUAUGAAUAAGGACCGGCUAAUUCCGUGCCAGCAGCCGCGGUAAUACGGAAGGUCCGGGCGUUAUCCGGAUUUAUUGGGUUUAAAGGGAGCGUAGGCCGGAGAUUAAGCGUGUUGUGAAAUGUAGUGGCUCAACCUCUGCACUGCAGCGCGAACUGGUCUUCUUGAGUACGCACAACGUGGGCGGAAUUCGUGGUGUAGCGGUGAAAUGCUUAGAUAUCACGAAGAACUCCGAUUG
rnacentral:rRNA from 1 species